rnacentral:lncRNA from 1 species
UUGGCAAGUGUUGUUUCCGCUGAUAUGAUGAGCUAGAUUACAAGCAUUCCUAUAGUGCAUGGCCUCUGGUCUGAUCAUCUUAUUUUGUCCCAUACUAGCCCUUCUUCUCCUUCUCUACAGGAUUUCUAUUCCUUGACUGCUCCCUCUCAGCAGGAAAAUAUUAACAUAGAUUUUAUCUGGGUCUGGAGAUUGCAAGUUCCUGCAAGGACGAGAACUUUCUGGUGGAAACUUCUUAAGAUGUGCUUACCAUGUAAUUAUUAGUUCAAAGAGGAGAUCUUCCAUCUUCUGAUUUAUCUUGUGACCUCUGUCAUCUUCAUGAGGACGUGCCCAUGUAAUCAUCUCUUGCCCCUUUGAGAUGGAUUGUUGGCGAUUGAUUAGCAGUGGAUGGGAUAUUGGUUUUUGUCCAGAAACUUUACAGAGCUUGUUUGACUUCAUGGUGGAUGCCAAAGUGGCGGAGGGUUUGAAAAUUCUUUUGGCAUAUGUGCCUUGGCUUCUUUAG